CAGCCGUCCCCCAUCCUAAAACACAUCGGCAGGCCAGAGACAACCCUGAGCCCUUGUCGAGGCCACUGUUUGUGUGGUGCAGGGGAGACUGCUUUCUCAGUCACACAGACAUGUCCAGAAGAGGAGAGACCAGGAGGCCCAGGGACAGUGGCCGCCUACUGUGUUCUGAGUUUUAGCACUCACAUUUCCUCCCAGAUUGGGACUUCUGAAGUCUUGCGCUGCCCAUUAAGUUGCAGGCAAUGUGGCCUCCCGCAAGCAGGGAGAUGUUGCUGUGGGACACUAGCCAUGAGCCGCCUGGCCUCUGCACCCUCAGAAGCAGAGAUUGGAAAUGUUCUGUGGGGGGUCAGCAGGGGCAGGGUGGUGGCAGGAGGAAGUGCCCAGGACAGGAGCCUGGGAACUGGCUUUACAUUUGGAGUCUGUUGCUCACCAUGUGUGUAACUUGACCCUCUGCCCGCAGGACCUUAGUCUGAAAUUAGGGAAUUGACUCAGAUCACUGGCCCUCAAACAGGUGCACAUUGGAAGCACCUGGAGAGCCCGGUAGAACAUGGAUGCUGUCCCCGAGAGCUUCAUGCUCAGCAGAUCAGGUGAGGCCUGAGUCAUUCUAGCUCAGGUCUCUUGCCUGGGCUCCACAGACAAGUUCCUGGAUGGGACAUCCACCCAGGGACCACACUUUGAGAACCACUGGCCCAACUGAUGACCAGGGCUUCUUCCAGACCUGAGACGUACGGAUUUUCUCUUUGAAAAGCAGCAUAAUAUGGGAAGAAGAAAUUAAGCAGGGGAAAAGGAAUUUUAGAAGAAGCAAGAGAAGUUUCCAAACACUUUGAUUAAUCGUGACAACCAGCAAUGCCUCUAUGCUGCCGGGGCCCAGCAGCUGUGGGGCCAGGACCUAAUGGGAUGGCUCUCCUCCCUCGACUCUCAGGGGUUCUUUUUAGUUGGUUUUCAUGGAUCCCACAUCUGAGACCAUUUUUAUGACAGCAUCUGCUUGAGUCUGUAAUGAAAUACGUUAUGUGAAAACACGUUGAAAAUAUGAAGAGCAAAGCAGGGGGUUUAUUUUUAACGUAUGUUUAUAUUUUCUGCUUUAUCUCCUCCAAAAAAAAAAUGAUGGUUGUGAUAAAAGACACAGACGUCGUUGAUGGGAGACAGUUG
rnacentral:lncRNA from 1 species